AUGUUGUUCGCCGAGCCAUCCGUGUCGGUGGUGGAUGGGCUCCUCGCGCUGGCUGAGGAAGGCCGAGCGCCGUCGCGACUUCACCACCGCCAUCUCCUGCCUCGACUCGGCGCUCAGCCCGCCCCACGUCGCCUCGCUCCUCCCGCUCACCGAGGCCUGCGCGCGGAUGCGCCUCGCCGGAUGCGGGCGAGGCCAGCAGGCAGCCGGGGCGGCUCACCGACUCCUGCUCCCCUGCAGCUUCACCGAGGGCCACCAUGGUUGAUUCGCCUCACUCUGCCCCUCGGCGUCCGCUUUAUCUUCGCCCGUCUGGAUCUUCCGGGCGCUUCACAGCUCUGCUGGCCUCGGCCUUGA
rnacentral:rRNA from 1 species